GGUUAAGCGACUAAGCGUACACGGUGGAUGCCCUGGCAGUCAGAGGCGAUGAAGGACGUGCUAAUCUGCGAAAAGCGUCGGUAAGGUGAUAUGAACCGUUAUAACCGGCGAUGUCCGAAUGGGGAAACCCAGUGCAAUUCGUUGCACUAUCGUUAACUGAAUACAUAGGUUAACGAGGCGAACCGGGGGAACUGAAACAUCUAAGUACCCCGAGGAAAAGAAAUCAACCGAGAUUCCCCCAGUAGCGGCGAGCGAACGGGGAGCAGCCCAGAGUCUGAAUCAGCUUGUGUGUUAGUGGAACGGUCUGGAAAGUCCGACGGUACAGGGUGAUAGUCCCGUACACCAAAAUGCACAGGUUGUGAACUCGAAGAGUAGGGCGGGACACGUGGUAUCCUGUCUGAAUAUGGGGGGACCAUCCUCCAAGGCUAAAUACUCCUGACUGACCGAUAGUGAACCAGUACCGUGAGGGAAAGGCGAAAAGAACCCCGGCGAGGGGAGUGAAAAAGAACCUGAAACCGUGUACGUACAAGCAGUGGGAGCACCUUCGGGUGUGACUGCGUACCUUUUGUAUAAUGGGUCAGCGACUUAUAUUCUGUAGCAAGGUUAACCGUAUAGGGGAGCCGCAGGGAAACCGAGUCUUAACUGGGCGUUAAGUUGCAGGGUAUAGACCCGAAACCCGGUGAUCUAGCCAUGGGCAGGUUGAAGGUUGGGUAACACUAACUGGAGGACCGAACCGACUAAUGUUGAAAAAUUAGCGGAUGACUUGUGGCUGGGGGUGAAAGGCCAAUCAAACCGGGAGAUAGCUGGUUCUCCCCGAAAGCUAUUUAGGUAGCGCCUCGUGAAUUCAUCUUCGGGGGUAGAGCACUGUUUCGGCUAGGGGGUCAUCCCGACUUACCAACCCGAUGCAAACUACGAAUACCGAAGAAUGUUAUCACGGGAGACACACGGCGGGUGCUAACGUCCGUCGUGAAGAGGGAAACAACCCAGACCGCCAGCUAAGGUCCCAAAGUCAUGGUUAAGUGGGAAACGAUGUGGGAAGGCACAGACAGCCAGGAUGUUGGCUUAGAAGCAGCCAUCAUUUAAAGAAAGCGUAAUAGCUCACUGGUCGAGUCGGCCUGCGCGGAAGAUGUAACGGGGCUAAACCAUGCACCGAAGCUGCGGCAGCGACACUAUGUGUUGUUGGGUAGGGGAGCGUUCUGUAAGCCUGCGAAGGUGACCUGUGAGGGUUGCUGGAGGUAUCAGAAGUGCGAAUGCUGACAUAAGUAACGAUAAAGCGGGUGAAAAGCCCGCUCGCCGGAAGACCAAGGGUUCCUGUCCAACGUUAAUCGGGGCAGGGUGAGUCGACCCCUAAGGCGAGGCCGAAAGGCGUAGUCGAUGGGAAACAGGUUAAUAUUCCUGUACUUGGUGUUACUGCGAAGGGGGGACGGAGAAGGCUAUGUUAGCCGGGCGACGGUUGUCCCGGUUUAAGCAUGUAGGCUG
rnacentral:rRNA from 1 species